UGAGAGGGCCCCAUUUGAUGUCCCCGGUCUAGCAGUGAACUCAGCAACCAUGGAUCAACAAACAACCUCAGUGCACGGGGUCAUUGUCACAAAAUUAUGGCCCCCACGAUGCAGAGUGGGACUAAAGUAGGUCAUCUAGAAGACCACCCUCCUGCCAAUUUUAGAUGGAAUUUUGAUCGAAUUUUUUGGGAAUACUUCUGUAACUUUUGAGAAAAGAAACUUUCUUCAGUGUCCAGCUGCAGCCUUCUGUGAGCACCUGACCCUUGUUUGAGAACGCUGGAGUCUGUUGCUAUGGAAACGUACUCAAGUCAGACUGCAACAGGAGGACCUCUGAUCUGAUUUUCCUGAUGCUCUUUGGAUGCCUUCAAUGCAGCCUGUGUGUCUACAGGGAACAGUUUCUUCCCUGCAUAGACCACACAGAGCUGUGGUCUGGGUCCCUCCCCACCCCUACUCCAUUGUUCCCCUUCCCUGGCUAAAUGGCCAGGGACAAGCUGCCACCAGAGACACAGAAUGGCCAAGGACAAUUUGUACAGGAUCUAAUUUAG